CCUCAGUAAGCAUCUAACUAAAGGACAAAAAGACCCUUUGAAGCUUUAUAGGGAUAAAACUUGGGUAAGAUAUCUAUUCUGCUAUUGUGUUCUUUUUGCGUGUAGUGCUAAAGUAAAGACUCGAACACCCUAGCUU
rnacentral:rRNA from 1 species